rnacentral:rRNA from 1 species
AUACGGAGGAUGCGAGCGUUAUCCGGAUUUAUUGGGUUUAAAGGGAGCGUAGGCGGGAGCUUAAGUCAGCGGUUAAAUGGUGCGGCUCAACCGUGCCCUGCCGUUGAAACUGGGUUUCUUGAGAGUGCAAGAGGCGGAUGGAAUUCAUGGUGUAGCGGUGAAAUGCUUAGAUAUCAUGAAGAACUCCGAUUGCGAAGGCAGUCCGCUGGGGCACGUCUGACGCUGAUGCUCGAAGGUGCGGGAAUCAAACAGGAUUAGAUACCCUGGUAGUCCGCACGGUAAACGAUGAUUACCCGCUGUCGGCGGCAGACAGUCGGCGGCCAAGCGAAAGCGUUAAGUAUCCCACCUGGGGAGUACGCCGGCAACGGUGAAACUCAAAUGAAUUGACGGGG